rnacentral:rRNA from 1 species
UGUCUUUUUGAAAAUAAUAUAAAGUCUAAUCUGCCCACUGAUUUUAUAUUAAAGGGCUGCAGUAUUUUGACUGUACAAAGGUAGCAUAAUCAUUAGUCAUUUAAUUGAUGACUUGUAUGAAAGAUUGGAUGAAAUAUAAACUGUCUCUUAAUUAUUAAUAUAAAAUUUAAUUUUUUAAUUAAAAAGUUAAAAUAAUUUAAAAAGACGAGAAGACCCUAUAGAGUUUUAUAUUUAAAUUAAUUAAGAUUAUUUAAAAUUUAAAAUUAAAAUUAAUUUAUUUAUUAUAUUGGGGUGAUAGAAAAAUAUAUAUAACUUUUUUUAUAUAAAAACAUUUAUAAGUGAUUAAAUGAUCCAAUAAUAUUGAUUAUAAGAAAAAAUUACCUUAGGGAUAACAGCGUAAUUUUUUUUUUUAGUUCAUAUAAAAAAAAGAGUUUGCGACCUCGAUGUUGGAUUAAGAUAAAAUUUAAAUGUAGAAG